rnacentral:ncRNA from 1 species
UAUUUUGCUAUGACAAGGAAGAGUACUAGGAAACCCAGUUUACAGAGAGAGGCUGUUACCAGCUGAAAGCAGCCUUAAAUAUGGUUCUUAGGAAAACUACCCUUGAGCAGUGAUUUAGUAGUAGCAUAUAUGCUAUGAAAUAUCACCGGUUGUUCCGAUAUUAACUAUUUAAGAGAAAUUCACAUUGAAUUUAAUUUGGGUGGAACCGCGGAUUUAGACAUUCGUCCCAUUG